rnacentral:rRNA from 1 species
UGGGGAAUAUUGGACAAUGGGCGAAAGCCUGAUCCAGCCAUGCCGCGUGUGUGAAGAAGGUCUUCGGAUUGUAAAGCACUUUAAGUUGGGAGGAAGGGCAGUAAGCGAAUACCUUGCUGUUUUGACGUUACCGACAGAAUAAGCACCGGCUAACUCUGUGCCAGCAGCCGCGGUAAUACAGAGGGUGCAAGCGUUAAUCGGAAUUACUGGGCGUAAAGCGCGCGUAGGUGGUUCGUUAAGUUGAAUGUGAAAGCCCCGGGCUCAACCUGGGAACUGCAUCCAAAACUGGCGAGUUAGAGUAGGGCAGAGGGUGGUGGAAUUUCCUGUGUAGCGGUGAAAUGCGUAGAUAUAGGAAGGAACACCAGUGGCGAAGGCGACCACCUGGGCUCAUACUGACACUGAGGUGCGAAAGCGUGGGGAGCAAACAGG